rnacentral:rRNA from 1 species
CACGUAGGGCACAAGCGUUGUCCGGAAUUAUUGGGCGUAAAGAGCUCGUAGGCGGUCUGUUGCGUCCGCUGUGAAAACUCGGGGCUUAACCCCGAGCCUGCAGUGGAUACGGGCAGACUAGAGGUAGGUAGGGGAGAAUGGAAUUCCCGGUGUAGCGGUGAAAUGCGCAGAUAUCAGGAGGAACACCGGUGGCGAAGGCGGGUCUCUGGGCCGAUACUGACGCUGAGGAGCGAAAGCGUGGGGAGCGAACAGG